rnacentral:rRNA from 1 species
CACGUAGGGCGCAAGCGUUGUCCGGAAUUAUUGGGCGUAAAGAGCUCGUAGGCGGUCUGUUGCGUCCGCUGUGAAAACUCGGGGCUUAACCCCGAGCCUGCAGUGGAUACGGGCAGACUAGAGGUAGGUAGGGGAGAAUGGAGUUCCCGGUGUAGCGGUGAAAUGCGUAGAGAUGUGGAGGAAUACCGAUGGCGAAGGCAGCCCCCUGGGAUAACACUGACGCUCAUGCACGAAAGCGUGGGGAGCAAACAGG